rnacentral:rRNA from 1 species
AUGGAAGUGGUCGCGUCGGCGCCGGGGAAGGUGCUCGUGGCGGGAGGGUACCUGGUGCUGGAGCGCCCCAACCCCGGCCUCGUCCUCAGCACCACCGCUCGCUUCUACGCCAUCGUCCGCCCGAUCCACGACGAGCUCAGCCCCGACUCCUGGGCAUGGGCGUGGGCGGAUGUGAAGGUGACCUCCCCUCAGCUCUCCCGGGAGGCCGCCUACAAGCUAUCCAUCAAGAAUUCGACGCUCCAAUUGACGUCCGCAAGGGAGUCUACAAAUCCUUUUGUGGAGCAGGCGAUACAAUUCUCCAUAGCCGCUGCCAAAGUGUCUAUUACUGAUAAGGAGAAGAAAGAUGCACUAGAUAAGCUGCUGUUGCGAGGUUUGAACAUCACAAUUCUGGGUUCCAAUGAUUUCUAUUCAUACAGGAAGCAGAUUGAAGCACGUGGUCUGCCUCUAACUCCAGAGGUAUUGCUUUCAUUGCCUCCAUUUUGCUCAAUUACGUUUAACUCAGAAGUUGCUAAUGGAACUGGAGAAAUAUGCAAACCUGAAGUGGCAAAAACUGGACUUGGAUCAUCAGCUGCCAUGACUGCAUCAGUUGUCGCUGCUCUUCUUCAUUACCUUGGAGCUGUUAACCUUUCGUGUUCAGGUCAAUCAUCCAGUGUCACUGCAACUGGACGAGAUUUUGACUUUGUGCAUGCUAUUGCUCAAAGUGCACACUGUAUAGCACAAGGGAAAAUUGGCAGUGGCUUUGAUGUUAGUGCCGCUGUCUAUGGGAGUCACCGCUACACAAGGUUCUCUCCAGAAAUCCUCUCCUCAGCCCAGGUUAUAGGCGGGAGUUGCUUGCCAGAUGUAGUAGCAGAUAUUGUUACACGGAGGUGGGAUCAUGAGAAGACCCAAUUUUCUUUGCCUCCUCUGAUGUGCCUUCUUCUGGGUGAACCUGGAACUGGAGGAUCAUCUACUCCAUCAAUGGUUGGAUCUGUGAAACAGUGGCAGAAGUCUGAUCCUCAGAAAGCCGCAGAUACAUGGAGCAAGUUGGGAAUGGCUAAUUCAGUGCUGGAAAACCAAUUGAGAAGCUUAAGCAAACUUUCUGAAGAUCAUUGGGAUGCCUAUGAAUCUGUAGUGCGGUCCUGUAGUCGUCUCACAUUCACGAAGUGGACAGAGGUGGCUACUAAUCAGCAGCAAGAAUUGAUUGUCAAAUCAUUAUUGGCUGCGAGAGAUGCUUUCCUUGAAAUAAGGCUUCAUAUGCGAGAGAUGGGUGUGGCAGCCGGUGUUCCAAUUGAGCCGGAGUCACAAACGCAACUUCUGGAUGCCACUAUGAAUAUGGAAGGUGUUCUACUAGCUGGUGUUCCUGGAGCCGGUGGCUUUGACGCAGUUUUCUCAGUGACCUUGGGUGAAGCAAGUGGUGCUGUAGCAAAUGCUUGGAGCUCCGUCGGUGUCCUCCCGCUACUUGUUCGAGAAGACUCUCGGGGUGUUUCACUGGAAGCUGGCGAUCCAAGAACGGAGGAGGUGUCAACUGCUGUGUCGUCCAUACAGAUUAGCUGA